GUCCAGACUCCUACGGGAGGCAGCAGUGGGGAAUAUUGCACAAUGGGGGAAACCCUGAUGCAGCGACGCCGCGUGAGUGAAGAAGUAUUUCGGUAUGUAAAGCUCUAUCAGCAGGAAAGAAAAUGACGGUACCUGACUAAGAAGCCCCGGCUAACUACGUGCCAGCAGCCGCGGUAAUACGUAGGGGGCAAGCGUUAUCCGGAUUUACUGGGUGUAAAGGGAGCGUAGACGGUGAAGCAAGUCUGAAGUGAAAGGCGGGGGCUCAACCCCCGGACUGCUUUGGAAACUGUUUGACUGGAGUGCAGGAGAGGUAAGUGGAAUUCCUAGUGUAGCGGUGAAAUGCGUAGAUAUUAGGAGGAACACCAGUGGCGAAGGCGGCUUACUGGACUGUAACUGGCGUUGAGGCUCGAAAGCGUGGGGAGCAAACAGGAUUAGAUACCCGAGUAA
rnacentral:rRNA from 1 species